ensembl:miRNA Mir7234 microRNA 7234
UUGUUUUCUCCAAAGACGUUUCUAGGUAGAAACGUCUUUCUAGGGUAGAAGG